UGGCCAGACUCCUACGGGAGGCAGCAGUGGGGAAUCUUCCGCAAUGGGCGAAAGCCUGACGGAGCAACGCCGCGUGAUCGAAUGAAGGCCUUCGGGUUGUAAAGAUCUGUUGACAGGGACGAAUAAGCAAUGCGAAUAGUUUUGUGUAUGACGGUACCUGUUUAGAAAGCUCCGGCUAACUACGUGCCAGCAGCCGCGGUAAUACGUAGGGAGCAAGCGUUGUCCGGAAUUACUGGGCGUAAAGGGCGCGUAGGUGGGCGCUUAAGUCAGGUGUGAAAACUCCGGGCUCAACCUGGAGACUGCACUUGAAACUGGGUGUCUUGAGUACUGGAGAGGCAGACGGAAUUCCUAGUGUAGCGGUGAAAUGCGUAGAUAUUAGGAGGAACACCAGUGGCGAAGGCGGUCUGCUGGACAGCAACUGACGCUGAGGCGCGAAAGCGUGGGGAGCAAACAGGAUUAGAUACCCUGGUAA
rnacentral:rRNA from 1 species